UUUAAGACGUACAUUGAACGUGCAUGUCUAUAAAGCAUUGACUUUUAGGUGGUGUUUGUUUUUUUCCUGCAGAUCUGUGUGACCACUUCUAUUUGCACCACACAGACCACACGCAUAUAUAGACCCUCACAAACAGUUUGUUUUUUGGAAGUGUGCAGACUUGAAAACAUCUGCGAGAGGUCUUCUUGACACAUACAUUGACCAAUGUCUUCUAAGGUCUUUACAAGUCUUUUAAACCCAAAAGAACAUACAUUUUUUUUUCUCUCAGCGCCUCCAACAUCUGCCAACACAUCUCUCCACCAGUUUUCUUCAACCUCGUGUCUCCUUCAUGUGCCGCCACUUUCCAGACCAGAACCGUCAUCUUCGUCUCCGAUUGCACCAGAUGCACUUCGAAAAUGAAAUUAAUUGUACAUCGGAUUUUCCUUUGAAAACGAAACUAGGUAGACAACACCAAAUAUGUCGAGAAACAUGGAAAUUUGAAUAAGAUCACAAUGCUGUCAAUGGUGGCAAUAGUUGAAGCGUGUGUGACUUUCAUGUUCAAGAGUUCACCUUAGAUUAUGAAUGGUUAUGAUUGGAAAAUUUAUGUGUAAUGUGUAUAUGUUGGUAUUGAUGUUAUUCCUUAUGAUUCCAUAUCAAUCUAAAGCAUUUGUAAUAAAAAGAGAUACGUGUUGCAUGUAUGAUAUUAUUUUAAGAUA